AUUGAACGCUGGCGGCAGGCCUAACACAUGCAAGUCGAACGAGUGGCGGACGGGUGAGUAAUGUCUGGGAAACUGCCCGAUGGAGGGGGAUAACUACUGGAAACGGUAGCUAAUACCGCAUACCAUCGGAUGUGCCCAGAUGGGAUUAGCUAGUAGGUGGGGUAAUGGCUCACCUCGGCGACGAUCCCUAGCUGGGCUGAGAGGAUGACCAGCCACACUGGAACUGAGCCACGGUCCAGAGUCGUACGGGAGGAAGCAGUGGGGAAUAUUGCACAAUGGGCGCAAGCCUGAUACAGCCAUGCCGCGUGUAUGAAGAAGGCCUUCGGGUUGUAAAGUACUUUCAGCGAGGAGGCGGUACUCGAAGAAGAAGCACCGGCUAACUCCGUGCCAGCAGCCGCGGUAAUAC
rnacentral:rRNA from 1 species